rnacentral:tRNA from 1 species
GCCGAGUGGAUUAGCCGCGAGUGUGGGUCUAGAGGCGCAGGCCUUGAGAGCCUGUGGCCCUUACGGGCCGCGUGGGUUCGAAUCCCACUCCCGGCGCCA